rnacentral:rRNA from 1 species
UACGGGGGGGGCAAGCGUUGUUCGGAAUUACUGGGCGUAAAGGGCUCGUAGGCGGCCAACUAAGUCAGACGUGAAAUCCCUCGGCUUAACCGGGGAACUGCCUCUGAUACUGGAUGGCUUGAGUUCGGGAGAGGGAUGCGGAAUUCCAGGUGUAGCGGUGAAAUGCGUAGAUAUCUGGAGGAACACCGGUGGCGAAGGCGGCAUCCUGGACCGACACUGACACUGAGGAGCGAAAGCCAGGGGAGCAAACGGG